UACGGAGGGUGCAAACGUUGCUCGGAAUCAUUGGGCGUAAAGCGCACGUAGGCGGCCUGAUAAGUCGGGUGUGAAAGCCCUGGGCUCAACCCAGGAAGUGCACUCGAAACUGUCAGGCUUGAAUAUGGAAGAGGGUCGCGGAAUUCCCGGUGUAGAGGUGAAAUUCGUAGCUAUCGGGAGGAACACCAGUGGCGAAGGCGGCGACCUGGGCCAAUAUUGACGCUGAGGUGCGAAAGCGUGGGGAGCAAACAGG
rnacentral:rRNA from 1 species